UACGUAGGGUGCAAGCGUUGUCCGGAAUUAUUGGGCGUAAAGAGCUUGUAGGCGGUUUGUCGCGUCGGCUGUGAAAACCUGGGGCUCAACCCCGGGCCUGCAGCCGAUACGGGCAAACUAGAAUUCGGUAGGGGAGACUGGAAUUCCUGGUGUAGCGGUGAAAUGCGCAGAUAUCAGGAGGAACACCGGUGGCGAAGGCGGGUCUCUGGGCCGAUAUUGACGCUGAGGAGCGAAAGCGUGGGGAGCAAACAGG
rnacentral:rRNA from 1 species